GAGAUGUACUCUCUGUACUAGACAUGUGAGGUGUACUCUCUAUCCUAGAUGUGAGGUGUACUCUGUAUCCUAGACAUGUGAGGUGUACUUUCUAUGCUAGACCAUGUGAAAAGUACUCUCCAUGGGCAGAUUGGCAAAUGCCAGAUGGGCAGGUCCAUGUUUUUGUUCGGGGAGUAUGUGUAUUUUAAUUGUUUUAUCAACAUUUAUUCGAUUCUGAUUCUCAGUCUCUUCAGCCUGCUAGUGGGUCUUAGUUUAUGAGCUGUAGUAACGAAUGACUCUGGUGUCGGAUUACAUUACAUAGCCACUGCCACUGGAGGCGGGAAAGUCCCACCAAUUUCCCACUUAUUUCAUUUGCUGAAAGGCCUGUCACUUCUCUGCAGCAAGAUAUGCAUACUGUCAAACGUAGCACAACGCUGGAAAUCUAUCCACAUCAACUAGUGCCAGCAUCGUUCUAUGACAAACACAGAAGGUUUUAUAUUGAAUUCAAUAGAACAGAGAAAGAGAGGGAGAGAGAGAGAGAGACGGUCAGUUCGUUAAUGUAGCCAUUGGCUGUAUUAUACAACCAAAACAUUAAGGAACUGGCCGGCUCUCUCUUCUCUCUCUUUUUUAUUAUAUUUUCAUUAUAUGUAGCCUAAUAUUUAAACACUUAGCUAAGUGGGCAGGGGGGAACACAUAACAUGCACUAAUUUGAAAUACACUCACUGGCCAGUCUAAUACCGGGUCGGAUCCCCCUUUGUCUCCAGAACAACCUGAAUUCUUCAGGGUAUUCUACAAGGUGUCGGAAAAGUUCCACAGGGAUGUUGGUCCAUGCUGACGUGAUGGCAUCACACAGUUGCUGCAGAUUGGAUGGUGGUACUGUCUGAAUUGACAGAAGACGGUGGUGGCCGUGGCAGUGUGCUGACCGACCAGCAGGAGUGGGCAGUGGUGGAAAUGGUGUGUGCCAGGAAUGACUUAUGGCUGUGAUGACACCUUUGCCAAUGUGGCAUCCAUCAGCCUACCAACAUUUGCUACUUUUUGAAGAGGCACCAGCUAUCUAUAAAACACUUUUAAUUGGUGCCCUUUGAAAGAAACAAUGACCGGGUGAAACAACUGCUGGCUGAGUAAUUUCAGAGGGUGAUGGUGUUUGAUGCUGCUGUGACCCAUCAUAAGAAUAUAUUUGUUGAUGAAGUGGUCGUCAUAUGGAGGAGACCAAGGUGCAGCGUGGACACCUAAGAUCAUCAAGGACAACAACCACCUGAGCCACUGCCUGUACACCCCG